rnacentral:lncRNA from 1 species
GAGGCACCAUUCUACAAUCAAUGAUAAUGGGGCCACAUAAUGACCAACCAUGUCCUAUUGUACUAUACUCUUAAGUAAAGGCACAUGGCUAAAGAUCUCUUUUGCUUUCCUCUAUUACCCAUAUCCGAAAUUGGUACGAAAUAUGUGUCUCAGCCUUUUUACGAAAAAAUAUAUGUAUGAGCUUGUGCAUUGAUAGUGUCAAAGUAUGUAGCGAUGGUGAUUGGACAAAGUAAAGCCUUUAACUGAACUUGGAAAUAUUAUAAAACAAUGGUUGAACAACCACUGAGUUGACAAUUAAUCGGAACACGGGGUACUUUAGAUAGGAGUUGCAUUAUAUAGAUCAUAUGAUUUUAUUAAACCAUGAUUCAAGAGAUCUCAUAUCAGCAGAACCAACAUGUCUAUGUGCCAUUUCAUCUCUUUAUAGUCCUAUUGUCCAGUAAGUAAUUAAAUCUAAGGAAACAUAUCUCCAAUGAAAGAAAUAUAGGAAAACAUAUCUCCAAGGAAACUAUCAACCACAACCCCGAUGAGGAACAUACAUGAAGGUAUAAUGAUAAGAUAUUCACCUUAAACACGUUGUACGCAUUAAUUCAACAUGGAUGGCCUAAGCAACAC